GCCCGGGUGGUGAAAUGGUAGACACGAGGGACUUAAAAUCCCUUGGCCCAACGGCCGUGCGGGUUCAAGUCCCGCCCCGGGCA
rnacentral:tRNA from 1 species